CCUGGCUCAGAUUGAACGCUGGCGGAAUGCUUUACACAUGCAAGUCGAGCGGCAGCGCGGGGGCAACCCUGGCGGCGAGCGGCGAACGGGUGAGUAAUAUAUCGGAACGUACCCCGUCGUGGGGGAUAACACAGCGAAAGCUGUGCUAAUACCGCAUACGACCUGAGGGUGAAAAGCGGGGGAUCGCAAGACCUCGCGCGAUGGGAGCGGCCGAUAUCGGAUUAGCUUGUUGGUGAGGUAAAAGGCUCACCAAGGCGACGAUCCGUAGCUGGUCUGAGAGGACGACCAGCCACACUGGAACUGAGACACGGUCCAGACUCCUACGGGAGGCAGCAGUGGGGAAUUUUGGACAAAUGGGGGCGAACCCUGAUCCAGCCAUUCCGCGUGAGUGAAGAAGGCC
rnacentral:rRNA from 1 species